GAAAAGCCCCUGAUGGACGAACCAUCGGCCCGUACCGCAAUCCGACACAGGUGUGCUAGGCGAGCAUCCGAAGGCGUUCGGGAGAACCCUCGUGAAGGAACUCGGCAAAAUGACCCCGUACCUUCGGUAUAAGGGGUGCUCAUCCCGCGAGGGGUGAGCCGCAGAGAAUCGGCUCUAGCGACUGUUUAUCAAAAACACAGGACUCUGCC
rnacentral:rRNA from 1 species